rnacentral:rRNA from 1 species
CCUGCGACAGGACGGAAAGACCCCAUGGAGCUUUACUGUAGCUUGACAUUGGGUUUUGGUACUACAUGUACAGGAUAGGUGGGAGGCUUUGAAACCAGGACGCCAGUUUUGGCGGAGCCAUCCUUGGGAUACCACCCUUGUAGUACUGGGACUCUAACCAUAGGCCAUGAAUCUGGUCUUGGGACACUGUCAGGCGGGCAGUUUGACUGGGGCGGUCGCCUCCCAAAAGGUAACGGAGGCGCUCAAAGGUUCUCUCAGUACGGUCGGAAAUCGUACGUAGAG